rnacentral:rRNA from 1 species
UGGCGGACGGGCGAGUAACGCGUGAGCAACCUGCCCUAUGCAGGGGGAUAACACCGGGAAACCGGUGCUAAUACCGCAUAAGACCACACUGGCACAUGUCAGAGUGGUAAAAGCUCCGGCGGCAUAGGAUGGGCUCGCGUCCAAUUAGCUUGUUGGUAGGGUAACGGCCUACCAAGGCGACGAUUGGUAGCCGAACUGAGAGGUUGGUCGGCCGCAUUGGGACUGAGACACGGCCCAGACUCCUACGGGAGGCAGCAGUGGGGAAUAUUGCGCAAUGGGGGAAACCCUGACGCAGCGACGCCGCGUGAAGGAAGAAGGCCUUCGGGUUGUAAACUUCUUUGGUCGGGGACGAAGAUGACGGUACCCGAAUAACAAGCCACGGCUAACUACGUGCCAGCAGCCGCGGUAAUACGUAGGUGGCGAGCGUUGUCCGGAAUUACUGGGUGUA